UCGGGAAUUUUGGGCAAUGGGCGAAAGCCUGACCCAGCAACGCCGCGUGAAGGAUGAAGUCUCUCGGGAUGUAAACUUCGUAAGAAUAGGAAGAAUAAAUGACGGUACUAUUUGUAAGGUCCGGCUAACUACGUGCCAGCAGCCGCGGUAAUACGUAGGGACCAAGCGUUGUUCGGAUUUACUGGGCGUAAAGGGCGCGUAGGCGGCGUGGUAAGUCACUUGUGAAAUCUCCGAGCUUAACUCGGAACGGUCAAGUGAUACUGCUGUGCUAGAGUACAGAAGGGGCAACCGGAAUUCUUGGUGUAGCGGUGAAAUGCGUAGAUAUCAAGAGGAACACCUGAGGUGAAGACGGGUUGCUGGGCUGAUACUGACGCUGAGGCGCGAAAGCUAGGGUAGCAAACGGGAUUAGAUACCCGCGUAGUCCCUG
rnacentral:rRNA from 1 species